UUUAUGGAGAGUUUGAUCCUGGCUCAGGAUGAACGCUGGCGGCGUGCCUAAUACAUGCAAGUCGAGCGAACGGACGAGAAGCUUGCUUUUCUGAUGUUAGCGGCGGACGGGUGAGUAACACGUGGAUAACCUACCUAUAAGACUGGGAUAACUUCGGGAAACCGGAGCUAAUACCGGAUAAUAUUUAGAAGUGCAUGGUUCAAAAGUGAAUGACGGUCUUCCUGUCACCGAUAGACGGUUCCGCGAUGCAUUAGCUAGAUGGUAAGGUAACGGCUUACCAAGGCAACGAUGCAUAGCCGACCUGAGAGGGUGAUCGGCCACACUGGAACUGAGACACGGUCCAGACUCCUACGGGAGGCAGCAGUAGGGAAUCUUCCGCAAUGGGCGAAAGCCUGACGGAGCAACGCCGCGUGAGUGAUGAAGGUCUUCGGAUCGUAAAACUCUGUUAUUAGGGAAGAACAUAUGUGUAAGUAACUGUGCACAUCUUGACGGUACCUAAUCAGAAAGCCACGGCUAACUACGUGCCAGCAGCCGCGGUAAUACGUAGGUGGCAAGCGUUAUCCGGAAUUAUUGGGCGUAAAGCGCGCGUAGGCGGUUUUUUAAGUCUGAUGUGAAAGCCCACGGCUCAACCGUGGAGGGUCAUUGGAAACUGGAAAACUUGAGUGCAGAAGAGGAAAGUGGAAUUCCAUGUGUAGCGGUGAAAUGCGCAGAGAUAUGGAGGAACACCAGUGGCGAAGGCGACUUUCUGGUCUGUAACUGACGCUGAUGUGCGAAAGCGUGGGGAUCAAACAGGAUUAGAUACCCUGGUAGUCCACGCCGUAAACGAUGAGUGCUAAGUGUUAGGGGGUUUCCGCCCCUUAGUGCUGCAGCUAACGCAUUAAGCACUCCGCCUGGGGAGUACGACCGCAAGGUUGAAACUCAAAGGAAUUGACGGGGACCCGCACAAGCGGUGGAGCAUGUGGUUUAAUUCGAAGCAACGCGAAGAACCUUACCAAAUCUUGACAUCCUUUGACAACUCUAGAGAUAGAGCCUUCCCCUUCGGGGGACAAAGUGACAGGUGGUGCAUGGUUGUCGUCAGCUCGUGUCGUGAGAUGUUGGGUUAAGUCCCGCAACGAGCGCAACCCUUAAGCUUAGUUGCCAUCAUUAAGUUGGGCACUCUAAGUUGACUGCCGGUGACAAACCGGAGGAAGGUGGGGAUGACGUCAAAUCAUCAUGCCCCUUAUGAUUUGGGCUACACACGUGCUACAAUGGACAAUACAAAGGGCAGCGAAACCGCGAGGUCAAGCAAAUCCCAUAAAGUUGUUCUCAGUUCGGAUUGUAGUCUGCAACUCGACUACAUGAAGCUGGAAUCGCUAGUAAUCGUAGAUCAGCAUGCUACGGUGAAUACGUUCCCGGGUCUUGUACACACCGCCCGUCACACCACGAGAGUUUGUAACACCCGAAGCCGGUGGAGUAACCUUUUAGGAGCUAGCCGUCGAAGGUGGGACAAAUGAUUGGGGUGAAGUCGUAACAAGGUAGCCGUAUCGGAAGGUGCGGCUGGAUCACCUCCUUUCU
rnacentral:rRNA from 1 species